UCCAAAUCUCAAAUUGUCUGAUAUAGUUGUUAUAACAUAUUGAAAAUUAACCAGAACUAACCCAGUGAUAAUGACCGGGUAUUGAUGAGUGACUUGUUGCCAAUCGAAAAACUGAUAUAAGCGAGCUAACGUUAGCUGGCUAAUACACUUAACCUGUUUUGCAUUUCCUAAUUCAUUUUCAUUAACUUAAUCAUUGACACACCCCUCACUACUGUCAUUGGUUACACUAAUUGCAGUGUGUCUACAUAACCUGGUUCAAGUAUUCAUGACAUUACCCUGAGGAAUGCACAGUGAUGCUGAAACGUUGCGAGGCCCUGCAAGCGGAGGCUCUAGCCAGGAUGGAGGCUGCUAACCCAGCCAAGUUUGGGCCUGAAGUACUGUCUGAAAGGAGGUCCCCUGCUCCAGCACCACCCAAGGAGAUGACAGGGAAAGACCGCGCUCAGAUGCUAGCUGCACAGGACUAAGACUGGAAGGAAUCAUGGACUGAACUGUUAUUUAGUAGUAUAUAAUGUUUCACUGGAAAUAUUGUGGACGUUUCUGUACAUUAAAGAAAACCAGACAGGA